rnacentral:rRNA from 1 species
CAGCCGCCGCGGGAAUACGAAGGGUGCAAGCGUUAAUCGGAAUUACUGGGCGUAAAGCGUGCGUAGGCGGUGAGUUAAGUCUGCUGUGAAAUCCCCGGGCUCAACCUGGGAAUGGCAGUGGAUACUGGCUCGCUAGAGUGUGUCAGAGGAUGGUGGAAUUCCCGGUGUAGCGGUGAAAUGCGUAGAGAUCUGGAGGAAUACCGGUGGCGAAGGCGGCCCCCUGGACAAAGACUGACGCUCAGGUGCGAAAGCGUGGGGAGCAAACAGGAUUAGAUACCCCUGUAGUCCCUGUCUCUUAUAC